rnacentral:lncRNA from 1 species
GCAGCCCGGGCAGCGAGUCCAGUUCUCAGCCUGUGUCUUCGGUGCCCUGCGGGACACUUCUGCCCCAACAGAGCCACCCGCCCCAUCCCAUGCCAGCCGGGUACAUUUGGCCCCCGCUUAGGCCAGGAUGAAGCCACAGACUGCACCCCUUGCCCAGCAGGCAGGGCCUGUACCCAGGCUGGGCUGACACACCCCGACGCAGCGUGCUCACCGGGGUAAGUGCCCGCCAUUUCUCAAUGAUGAGUGUCCCGAUGGGGGCCAGAGCCAUCCCCCUAACACCCUUAGAGAAUCAGUCCCAGGUCAAGGCCAGACUUCUCCCAGCCUCUGACCCUCUCAGGGUUCGGAGAGGGCUGCGCCUUCAGAUCAAAGCUCUGUCUCAGCCAGCCCAGGGCUCCAG